rnacentral:rRNA from 1 species
GAUGAACGCUGGCGGCGUGCCUAAUACAUGCAAGUCGAGCGAACGGACGAGAAGCUUGCUUCUAUGAUGUUAGCGGCGGACGGGUGAGUAACACGUGGAUAACCUACCUAUAAGACUGGGAUAACUUCGGGAAACCGGAGCUAAUACCGGAUAAUAUUUUGAACCGCAUGGUUCAAAAGUGAAAGGAGGUCUUGCUGUCACUUAUAGAUGGAUCCGCGCUGCAUUAGCUAGUUGGUAAGGUAACGGCUUACCAAGGCAACGAUGCAUAGCCGACCUGAGAGGGUGAUCGGCCACACGGGAACUGAGACACGUUCCAGACUCCUACGGGAGGCAGCAGUAGGGAAUCUUCCGCAAUGGGCGAAAGCCUGACGGAGCAACGCCGCGUGAGUGAUGAAGGUCUUCGGAUCGUAAAACUCUGUUAGUAGUGAAGAACAUAUGUGUAAUUAACUGUGCACAUCUUGACGGUACCUAAUCAGAAAGCCACGGCUAACUACGUG